ensembl:snoRNA
UGGAUCGAUGAUGACCACUGGUGGCGUAUGAGUCGUUCACGAUGAAUACGUGUCUGGAACUCUGAGGUCCAA